rnacentral:rRNA from 1 species
AAUCAACGCUGGCGGCGUGCCUCAGACAUGCAGGUCGAACGCGAAAGUUCCCUUCGGGGAGCGAGUAGAGUGGCGUACGGGUGAGUAACACGUAGGUAAUCUACCUUUGGGUGGGGAAUAACAGCCGGAAACGGCUGCUAAUACCGCAUAAUGCAGCGGCUCGACAUCGAGACAGUUGUUAAAGCGGGGGAUCGCAAGACCUCGCGCCUAAAGAGGAGCCUGCGGCGGAUUAGCUAGUUGGUGGGGUAAUGGCUCACCAAGGCAUCGAUCCGUAGCCGGCCUGAGAGGGCGGUCGGCCACACUGACACUGACAUACGGGUCAGACUCCUACGGGAGGCAGCAGUCGGGAAUUUUGGGCAAUGGGCGAAAG